UACGUAGGGUGCAAGCGUUGUCCGGAAUUAUUGGGCGUAAAGGGCUCGUAGGCGGUCCAUCGCGUCGGGAGUGAAAAGCUGGGGCUUAACCCCAGUCCUGCUUCCGAUACGGGUGGACUAGAGGUAGGUAGGGGAGAACGGAAUUCCUGGUGUAGCGGUGAAAUGCGCAGAUAUCAGGAGGAACACCGGUGGCGAAGGCGGUUCUCUGGGCCUUACCUGACGCUGAGGCACGAAAGCCAGGGGAGCAAACGGG
rnacentral:rRNA from 1 species